rnacentral:rRNA from 1 species
ACGAACGCUGGCGGCGUGCUUAACACAUGCAAGUCGCACGGAAAGGCCCUGCUUUUGUGGGGUGCUCGAGUGGCGAACGGGUGAGUAACACGUGAGUAACCUGCCCUUGACUUUGGGAUAACUUCAGGAAACUGGGGCUAAUACCGGAUAGGAGCUCCUGCUGCAGGGUGGGGGUUGGAAAGUUUCGGCGGUUGGGGAUGGACUCGCGGCUUAUCAGCUUGUUGGUGGGGUAGUGGCUUACCAAGGCUUUGACGGGUAGCCGGCCUGAGAGGGUGACCGGCCACAUUGGGACUGAGAUACGGCCCAGACUCCUACGGGAGGCAGCAGUGGGGAAUAUUGCACAAUGGGCGGAAGCCUGAUGCAGCAACGCCGCGUGCGGGAUGACGGCCUUCGGGUUGUAAACCGCUUUCGCCUGUGACGAAGCGUGAGUGACGGUAAUGGGUAAAGAAGCACCGGCUAACUACGUG